UUCUUGCUAGUAUAUCGGUAGAACACUCCCCUGUCAGCUGAUUCAGCAAGUGCGGGAGAGGGCUGGGUUUCGAUUCCCAGGCAGGAAG